rnacentral:rRNA from 1 species
AGUCAUAUGCUUGUCUUAAAGGCUAAGCCAUGCAUGUCACAGAAUAAAUCCUAGCACGGUGAAUCUGCGAAUGGCUCAUUAAAACAGUUUUAGUUUAUUUCGUUGUCGAAAGUUAUAUGGAUAACUGUGGUAAUUCUAGAGCUAAUACAUGCUCAAAGACCCGACUUCUCGGAAGGGUCGUAUUUAUUAGCCCCAGAACCAUUUCCCGUCAGGGAGACAGGAUGAUUCAUGAUAAACGAACGGAGCGUAUGGCUUGAGCCGACGCUGUGCGAUUCAAGAUUCUGACCUAUCAGCUUUCGACGGUAGGGUAUUGGCCUACCGUGGCAUUGACGGGUAACGGAGAAUUAGGGUUCGAUUCCGGAGAGGGAGCCCGAGAAACGGCUACCACAUCUAAGGAAGGCAGCAGGCGCGCAAAUUACCCAAUCCUGACAAAGGGAGGUAGUGACAAGAAAUAACAAAGCAGGCCUCUAUGAGGUUUUGCUAUUGGAAUGAGUAGAAUUCAAAUCCCUUUACGACUAUCAAU